GGAGAAGUACUCAAGCGGCUCAAGAGGGCGGUUUGCUAAACCGUUAGAUCGGGCAACCGGUGCGUGGGUUCGAAUCCCACCUUCUCCGCCA
rnacentral:tRNA from 1 species